CACCAGCGUAAGAACAGUCUAAGGAUCCUCCUGAACUACUACCCUUUGCAAUUGGACAUUUUCCACUGUCACACACCAAUUUUUGCCUGUGUACCACGACACUUUUUACGUCAACACCCUUUGCAAUUGGACAUUUCCACUGUCACACAUCAACUUUGCCCGUGUACCACGACACUUUGACGUCGACAACAGCAUAGACGACACCAACAGCUCCGGUUCUCUUCCACAACGAGCCGACUACACCUUCCUACAUUCGGGAAUUCUACAACUAAAAAUG